AACGUAGGAGGCGAGCGUUAUCCGGAUUUACUGGGCGUAAAGCGUGCGCAGGCGGCUCGGCCAGUCGGACGUGAAAGCUCCUGGCUUAACUGGGAGAGGUCGUUCGAUACUGCGGGGCUUGAGGUUGGGAGAGGGGUGCGGAAUUCCCGGUGUAGUGGUGGAAUGCGUAGAGAUCGGGAGGAACACCUGUGGCGAAAGCGGCACCCUGGCCCACACCUGACGCUGAGGUACGAAAGCGUGGGGAGCAAACAGG
rnacentral:rRNA from 1 species